rnacentral:rRNA from 1 species
UUCCGGUUGAUUCUGCCGGCGGCCACCGCUAUUGGAAUACGAUUAAGACAUACGAGUCGAGAGACGUAAGGUCUCGGCGGACCGCUCAGUAACACGUGGAUAACAUGCCCUAAGGCGGGGGAUAAUCUCGGGAAACUGAGGGUAAUACCCCAUAGAUCUUGGAUGCUGGAAUGCCCCUAGGUCGAAAACUCCGGUGCCUUAGGAUUGGUCUGCGGUCUAUCAGGCAGUAGUGGGUGUAACGGACCCACUAGCCCGUGACGGAUAUGGGCCUUGAGAGAGGGUGCCCAGAGAUGGACUCUGAGACAUGAGUCCAGGCCCUACGGGGCGCAGCAGUCGCGAAAACUUCGCAAUGGGGGGAAACCCGACGAAGGAAUUCCAAGUGCUAGCACUUU